AUUGAACGCUGGCGGCAGGCCUAACACAUGCAAGUCGAGCGGAUGAAGGGAGCUUGCUCCUGGAUUCAGCGGCGGACGGGUGAGUAAUGCCUAGGAAUCUGCCUGGUAGUGGGGGAUAACGUCCGGAAACGGGCGCUAAUACCGCAUACGUCCUGAGGGAGAAAGUGGGGGAUCUUCGGACCUCACGCUAUCAGAUGAGCCUAGGUCGGAUUAGCUAGUUGGUGGGGUAAAGGCCUACCAAGGCGACGAUCCGUAGCUGGUCUGAGAGGAUGAUCAGUCACACUGGAACUGAGACACGGUCCAGACUCCUACGGGAGGCAGCAGUGGGGAAUAUUGGACAAUGGGCGAAAGCCUGAUCCAGCAAUGCCGCGUGUGUGAAGAAGGUCUUCGGAUUGUAAAGCACUUUAAGUUGGGAGGAAGGGCAGUAAGUUAAUCCCUUGCUGUUUUGACGUUACCAACAGAAUAAGCACCGGCUAACUUCGUG
rnacentral:rRNA from 1 species